AGUGACGCUGGCGGUAGGCCUAACCCAUGCAAGUCGAACGGCAGCACAGUAAGAGCUUGCUCUUACGGGUGGCGAGUGGCGGACGGGUGAGGAAUACAUCGGAAUCUACUUUUUCGUGGGGGAUAACGUAGGGAAACUUACGCUAAUACCGCAUACGACCUACGGGUGAAAGCAGGGGAUCUUCGGACCUUGCGCGAUUGAAUGAGCCGAUGUCGGAUUAGCUAGUUGGCGGGGUAAAGGCCCACCAAGGCGACGAUCCGUAGCUGGUCUGAGAGGAUGAUCAGCCACACUGGAACUGAGACACGGUCCAGACUCCUACGGGAGGCAGCAGUGGGGAAUAUUGGACAAUGGGCGCAAGCCUGAUCCAGCCAUACCGCGUGGGUGAAGAAGGCCUUCGGGUUGUAAAGCCCUUUUGUUGGGAAAGAAAAGCAGCAGGUUAAUACCCCGCUGUUCUGACGGUACCCAAAGAAUAAGCACCGGCUAACUUCGUG
rnacentral:rRNA from 1 species